rnacentral:rRNA from 1 species
AUAAGCACUUGUACUGUGAAACUGCGAAUGGCUCAUUAAAUCAGUUAUCGUUUAUUUGAUUGUGCCUUACUACAUGGAUACCUGUGGGAAUUCUAGAGCUAAUACAUGCGAAAGAUCCCGACUUUCCGGAAGGGAUGUAUAUAUUAGACUAAAAACCAAUGCGGGCCUCGGCUCGCUUGCUUGGUGAUUCAUGAUAACUUUUCGAAUCGCAUGGCCUUGCGCCGGCGAUGUUUCAUUCAAAUUUCUGCCCUAUCAACUGUCGAUGGUAAGGUAGUGCCUUACCAUGGUUGCAACGGGUGACGGAGAAUUAGGGUUCGAUUCCGGAGAGGGAGCCUGAGAAACGGCUACCACAUCUAAGGAAGGCAGCAGGCACGAAAAUUACCCAAUCCCGAUUCGGGGAGGUAGUGACAAGAAAUAACGGUACGGGGCCUUUAUAGGUCUCGCAAUCGGAAUGAGAACAAUUUAAAUCCUUUAACGAGGAUCAAUUGGAGGGCAAGUCUGGUGCCAGCAGCCGCGGUAAUUCCAGCUCCAAUAGCGUAUAUUAAAGUUGUUGCAGUUAAAAAGCUCGUAGUUGGAUUUCGGAGCGGGCCCGUCGGUCCACCGCAAGGUGAGCUACUGGCGGGUCUGUUCUUCUUCGCAAAGACUGCAGGUGCACUUCGCUGUGUGCUUGUCGGAUUUGUGACGUUUACUUUGAAAAAAUUAGAGUGUUCAAAGCAGGCUUUCGCUUGAAUACAUGAGCAUGGAAUAAUGGAAUAGGACUUUGGUUCUAUUUUGUUGGUUUCUAGGACCGAAGUAAUGAUUAAGAGGGACAAACGGGGGCAUCUGUAUUUCGUUGUCAGAGGUGAAAUUCUUGGAUUUGCGAAAGACAAACAACUGCGAAAGCACUUGCCAAGAGUGUUUUCAUUAAUCAAGAACGAAAGUUAGAGGAUCGAAGACGAUCAGAUACCGUCCUAGUUCUAACCAUAAACGAUGUCGACUAGGGAUCGGCGGGCGUUAUUUUAUGACCCCGUUGGCACCUUACGGGAAACCAAAGUUUUUGGAUUCCGGGGGUA